rnacentral:rRNA from 1 species
UACGUAGGGGGCGAGCGUUGUCCGGAAUUAUUGGGCGUAAAGCGCGCGCAGGCGGUCUCUUAAGUCUGAUGUGAAAGCCCACGGCUCAACCGUGGAGGGUCAUUGGAAACUGGGGGACUUGAGGGCAGGAGAGGAGAGCGGAAUUCCACGUGUAGCGGUGAAAUGCGUAGAGAUGUGGAGGAACAUCAGUGGCGAAGGCGGCUACCUGGACCAUGACUGACACUGAGGCACGAAAGCGUGGGGAUCAAACAGG